rnacentral:lncRNA from 1 species
AUGUCCUGGCAUGCAAAAACGCACCCACUGAAUCCCGCUUCUCUAAGAAGCAUAAUGAAAGCUGCUUUUCUAAAAAGCGCAAUAAAAGCUGUUGGGCUACCUCCCGCUCCAUCCUCGCGUCGUAAUCCAGCGACCGCCGAAGAGAGCACCGCGUCGGCCGACGACUUUAACCGCCCCCGGAUCCGCUACCCCUGGCAAGCCAAAAAGGCUUCUCCGCUGCCAACAAUGCAAUGGAGGAAAAUGCGGUCCGUCACCACACACCACCCAGAGAGAAGAAAACACUUAAAACAGUCCUCAGUGCAAGUAAAAGUCAAGUGCUGCUCCUUCCCAAGUUUGGCAAAAGGAUCAAGUCUAAGAUUUGAGCGUGUAAAGAUCCUCGAAAGAAGCAUUUAUUUACCAAAGAAGAUUUAA